UACGAAGGGGGCUAGCGUUGCUCGGAAUCACUGGGCGUAAAGGGUGCGUAGGCGGGUCUUUAAGUCAGAGGUGAAAUCCUGGAGCUCAACUCCAGAACUGCCUUUGAUACUGAGGAUCUUGAGUUCGGGAGAGUGAGUGGAACUGCGAGUGUAGAGGUGAAAUUCGUAGAUAUUCGCAAGAACACCAGUGGCGAAAGGCGGCUCACUGGCCCGAUACUGACGCUGAGGCACGAAAGCGUGGGGAGCGAACGAG
rnacentral:rRNA from 1 species